CAGAUGAAAAGGAUGUUGUGUGGGGCAGCUCGGCACUGAUAGUGGUAGGAAUCUGGUUUAUGACGGCACCAAACGAGGGCCAAUCAACAGUGUUUAAGGGCAGCAUUUCUUCAACAACAUAUCGCCCAACCAACUUCUUCAGCUCUCCACCACUUACUGCUUUGGCAGCGAAGUGCAGCUUUUGUUGUUUGGCUGGCAGGGGCCCUCCUGCAGUCACGGCUCUUUGCUUGGAACCACCUGCAGUCAAAGCCGCUUAGUUUGACUGCGCUGUGCUGUGAGGUCAAAGGUUACUUCAGGUUUGACGUCGUGUUUUUGAAGCUGGAUAACACUUUGUCACCAGCACAGAGAGUACAACCAACCUUGAUAUUAUCAUCUUUAGAUGACACAAACUCAAAGUAAGGACUAUAUUUCCAGCUGGAAAACGCACACCUUUCCUCUCCCUGCAUUGUUAUUGACGUGUGUGUCACCGGUUGCGUCUUUCCUCGUGUGGUGGAGGUGACGCAACGUCACUCUCAGAGAAGCAAACCAUUUUCCCCCCAAAGUAAAAUCACCAAAAAAGUAACGUAGAGUGGAUUGGAUAAGGAAUUUUAAUCUGAUUACUAGUUUGGAAAAAGUAACGCGUUUGUUUGAUCUUCAUUAAAAAAGUAGGCACAAUAGAGUAACGCGCUACUAAGUAACGCGUUCCUGGCAUCACUGCUUAGAAAUCAGCUGUGUGGGCAUAUCUCUACGUUUGUUGGUGAGAGCGUGCGUCACGUGGUGCGCACUGGGCCAUGGUGUGGAUGGAUGCGCUGUUUCUGUGCGCCACACGCAUCAUGUGGUAGGAGUAGUGUUGGUGUGGCUCAGGUGCGCUGAUGGUUUGUGCGCCGCCUCCACAUAGAAUCCUGCAGACGCCCCAAAUUCAUGGAAGCUGCUUAACAACAAAGUUUACUUUGACGGAGAAAACAAGGAAAUGGACACAAGCGUUUAUUCAUUUCAAGAACUGAUUUCCUGUUAAUCAUCUGGCGGUUAACGAGCACCGAGUCUGUGACGUCACCGCAGCACGCAGGGUUUCUAGAUGCGGAGCAACAGACGGCGGAGCCAGUUCACAUCACUUCGCUAAAGUUAGAAAGAUAUUCACAGAUUGGGCUUUUCCGGGUCAAGAACUCAUCGGAGGAUCAUUUCUUCUACAAAGCGACACCUCUCUGCAACCACAGCAAGGCAGACAGUGAGCUACAAUCGUAGUUUCCUCAAAACGAGUCUCCCACCGCGCUGGGAGAAUUACAUUGGACUCUAUGCAGAGCUCGCUGCUCCGCAGAUGCUUAGGGACCGUCUGCAAAUUGAAGCACCAGAAGAAUAAUGAUGGAGAAAUAUUCAACAGACUGAUACAGAUGAAUAAAGCUAGAAAGUCAGAUCAAGGAGAAAGGCAAUCGUUUAAUACAAAACACGAGACACUAGCCUUAACCAGCAUAGCAGUCAUUUUAACACGUGGGGAAACAAAACAUUAAAAGAGGCCAAAACAUUCAAUUUUAGCACAUUUAUAAAUGUUUCACACAUGAAAUUUAACCAGAAAAUCACAAUUCUCCAUGUGGUCAGCUGUCUUUAGUUUGAAUCUAGAAUCCUAAAAUGCUCUAAACUGAAUAGUGGAAUGAAGUGAAAAAAGCCGAGCUAAAAAACGAGCCGGUGGAACGAAGCACAUCUAGCAUAAAAAUCUGAGUAAAAUCUAAAUGACUGAGUGAUUUAACAAGGACUCAUCCAGGAGGUCCCAGAGGAACCAGAACAACAUCUGAAGCUCUGCAGGACUCACUGCCUCAGUUAAGGUCAGAGGUCAGGAUUCAACAAUUAGAGAGAAACUGGGAAAAAUGGCCUCCAUGGGAGAGGUCCAAGACCAGAACCACUGCUGACCCAGAAGAACCCAAAGACCCGUCUCACAUUUACCAAAAACAUCUUGAUGAUCAUCAAGACUUUUGGGGAAAUAUUCUGUGGACUGAUGAGACAUUUUCAGUUUUAUUAGAUAAAGUUAUUCAGUGUGAAAAAGUUUCCACUAAUGAGCCUGGAUGUGCUGCUUUGUGUUGAUCUGCCAAAUAAAAUCCCAAUAAAAUCAGCAGUUUGUGGUGGUCAGCUGAUAAAAUGAGACAAAGUUUAAUGGGGUGUGAAUACUUUAGCAGGGGCCUGUAUUGUAACUAAGUUUGCUAGCAGGACUCUGCAGCAGGUGAUGGAUGUUGAGCAGCUGAUGUGUGGAUGAAAAGCCAGAGAAAAUGAAUGUGCUCAGCUUUGAUGGUGUGUAAACUUUCCUAGCAGCAGAAGCAGUUGAAGGUUUUCUCUGAGCAGUGAGCAGACUGCAGAGUUGGACUGAAGGGAGACUCUGAAGUCUGAAGGUAGAACCGUUAGAAAUAAGACGCUGCAUUUUAGGAAGAGAAGAGCUGCAGUUCUAACAGCCCUGAUGUUAGAUAAAACUCCAUCUUUAAUCCAGCAAAUAGAAAUCUCUGCUUCUGGGAGUCAGAGGAAGCUGAAAGCUGGGAGCUUCUAGAAUGGGGAGCAAAGCAACAUGGAGGCUCUCAGAAAUGUUUCCAUCCUUCAGCUUUUCUAGCCCAGUUCCAGCAGCUCAACAUGAAGCCAGAUGGAGAUUUGGCCAAAGAGCCGACCGCUUGUCAUUGUUCAUCAUUUAGAAAUCAGACUGUGAGGACAUCACAGAGCUGCAGUCAUCACACGACACCAGAACCCAGCAGAACCCAGAGAAGAAGCAGCAGCCGUGGUUCUGUUAUGGAUCAAGGUACCGUGGUCCAUGAAAGGCUCAUUAAAACAGAACCUUAGAAACUAGAGAAUGGGCUUUUACUGCAGAAAAGUUUACAGUCCUAACAGAGUUUCAUUUAAAGACGUUUUGGUUCCAGGCGGUUCUGUAGGAGUCGGACCCUGGAGCGGGCUCAGGAACCCGACUGCAGGUUGAGGUUGUUCAGUAGAAUCCAGUUUCUACCAGUGAGUUCUGUGGUGCUGCUCGGUUGGCCUUUAACUUUUUAAUCUCUAAACCUUAACAAGGAUCAGAUCUGCGGUGAGUCUGGACUGAGAUCUUGGAGAACGGUGGAAAUGCUGCGGUGAAACCAGAACUUUGGCUGUUUUUUGGACCCAGGGAGAAUAUUUGCUCAGCGCUGAACUUCCACUACAUGCAGGAAUUUGCUGAGACGUUUGGUCGCUCAGUGCUGCUGCAGGUUGAGAUCUAGAGGGCUGUGGGCCACCAUGAGGGCAUUUAUGGCCAGGGAGAAAACACACAGCACGCUGCUGUUGGCAUGAAAGGAGGGAAAACAGGAAGGAGGCACCGUUCUGGACCCGCUCAGUUCCCACAACAGUUCUGGUUCUGUUUGCUUCACUGUUAACCGUCAUCUCAACAUAUUAUUGUCCUUUUCCAUCAUUAACUUGGUUCUAAAAAGUGUUGCUUUAGUGAACAUAGUUCUGUGAUGUAGAACAUGAAGCUGUUACUGAUUAGAGAAAAGAAACGCUUUAACCCAGAGAUGGAAAUCUGAUCAAUAUCAAUAAAUCAAUAUCAAUAAAUCAAUAUCAAUAAAUCAAUAUCAAUAAAUCAAUAUAAAAUGAACAACAAGUUAAAGAAAGCAACAUAUUCCUCCUAGAAUCAUCCCUGCUGUGUUUUUCUCUGCAAUGAAACGUUUGUCAGGAAUAAAUCUGUAAUUUUCUCCAAUCUGGAGGCAGAGGCUCUGUUUAAAGGAAGUAAAUAUCUGUUCUGUAGCUGUUUUACCUCCACAUGUCCAUUAGAAGAUUUGCUGCUUCUACCUGGAAAAUAGACGUCUAUUCUGAGCCUGUUUUUCUAUCCAGCUCUGUGGACCAGAACCCAGCCGCUGUAGAACCUGUGAUCAAUAACUAAGAUUCAUAUUUUCAUCUCUAAAUCUCAGUUUAUUAGUAUGUUCCAUAUUUCCACUGAUGGCGUUAUUACUGCUGUGUUACUAGUCUGUUAGAUGGAGUCAUUAAGGUGGUUCAGCUCACUGGCUGAUAACAGCCUGACUGACUUUAAAACAAAUAGCAGCUGCUUCUAAAACCUGCAGAGGUUCUAUCAGAUCGGUUCUGGUUCUAUAUGGAUCUCCUCAGGAGAACCUUGACUGCUCAUUUUAUAAUAAAUAUGUUAGCUAAAGGUUAGCGGGCAGCUGCCAUGUGGAAUAAAAAGACAAAGAUGCAGGAAGGUUUGGUUUAAUAUGUGUGUUAAUCAGCUGAUAGGACCAUUUGGACCAGAACUUUUAGCUUUCAGAACCAGAACAAAGCAAAUGAAAGCACUAAACCCUGUUGAUAAUGAUGGAAAUAUGUUGCAGUUGUUUAUUGUCCUAAAACCUUAAUACCAUCCGACCAGAACCAUGUAUUGAUUUGGCUAAAGGAGCAGAACCUGGCUGGCUGGUUCUGGUCCAGUUCUAGACAUUAAAUAAUGAUCCUUGUCUGAGGAAUGUGGAAACCAUCUCCUGCUGCCUUUGGUUUGUUUCCCCAGAACCUUUGAACAACUUUAAAAUAUUCUUUAUGAAGUUAAAUGUUUAACUUUAUUUUUCAUGAACUUUUAAACACAAAUAUCAUCUUUAGCUUUGAACGGAUCCAGAACCGAUCAGAAUAAAAGCAGAUUCAGAACCAGGAGCUCAGCUUUUAGCUACUUUGUAGACAUGAUUCUGGGAGGAAGAUUUUUUAAUAAAGUUCAGUUUUUUCCAGUGUUGCUGCUCAUGUGCAUUUAAGAAGCUAAAUGAGAGACGAGGGGAACCGGUUCUGCUGCUCAGACGGACUCUGGACUCCCCAGCAGAAGAGAAAACAGAGCAAUAGUUAGAAAAGCAGUUCUCACUAACUUUCCAGCUGCAGACCUUGCAGAGGGAAAAAGUCCAAAUGGUGGAGUGAUGAAAAAAGAGGCAAAGCAGCGACUUGUUCCAUCCUCUGAUGAUUAGAAAUGAAAGCAGGAAAAUCUGCAAAGUGCUUCUUUAGGAUCCUGUUCUACGGCUGCAGCUUCUAUCUGCUAAAUAUCUGACAGUUUGGCUUCUAAAGCUUUUGUAGACGAGGUCUAAAGGAAACUUUCUCACUUCUGUGGCUUUAUUUCCUGGUUGAACUUUGCUGGUUUUAGGCAGGUUUCUUUCCUCCAACACUUGAUGCUCAGACCAGAAGGUUAGCUCUGGUUGCUCAGAGCUCGCUGAGGAUCAAGGACGUUUGAAGAUGAAGACGUGACUUUAUUGACAUGUUGAUGGAAAUAAAUGACUAUUCUGAAUUAACAAGGAGGAGAUGGGUGGUCUUCAUUAAUCAGCAUUUAUUGGAUCCUUGCAGGGAGAACAGAACCAGUCUGUGGAAGAUGUUCAAUCUGCUCUAACUAGACAGAGAAAUGUUCUUUUCUAGAUCUGGCUCACUAGAGGCAGCCUUCAAGAGCGACUCCCCGACGCCUGCAGCUUUCCUUUCUGCCUACCGCUAUCUGUGCUCCUCAACCUUGGCUCUCUCUCUGAGACUAAACACAAUCAGGCCUUCAACCGCGCAACAUAGAUUGAAUCCUUUUGUCAGGCUGUUGGCAUUUAGAAAGCAAGGAUAGGAGAGAAACUUUACUCAACAUAACAGUUUGAACUUUUCUAUCUGAGCAACAGAUGAUUGAUUUGCUCGUUUAAAUAGUGACAGUGAUGGUGGAGAAGAUCCUCCAGGCUGGGCUCUGUGAGGUCAAAGGUCAGGUAGGUUACAGCAGGGAAAUCAUGAUCCCCAAGUUGCUGAAUAUUUGCAGCUUUUCCAUCUUUUUCUGACUGCGUUCAGUUCAGAUGAUCUUUUAGUUCCUUCCUGCAGAGAUCUGAACUUUCCACCAUGAUUCCUGUCUGAUUCCAGCAGAGCAGCAACACAGAUGAUGGUUUAAAGACAAACUGAAGCAGAUGCAGACAGGAAGGAUUGAUGGCUGCAGUUAGUUGGUGUGGACAGCAGGUGGCGCUGCUGCAUGGCACACAGAGGGAGAGCAGCAGCUUCCUGCAGGGACACAUGAAGAGCAGCAUGAAGCUGAGCUGGGAGACAUGAAGCUUUAACAUCUGCUGAACUCUUCAGCUCCUCUUUCCCUCAGAUCUGCCCUGAAGCAGCUUUAAGGUGGAAAACUGCUGCAGCUGGAGGAGAUUCAGCAAAACCAACAUGUUGCUUUGCUUUCUGUCCCAGAAGCUCCAGAGGAGGCUUGGCAGCAUGAAGGUCACCCAGAGAAGAAGCAGCAGCCGUGGUUCUGUUAUGGAUCAAGAGCUCACACCCCGUCCUGUGUCCACUGUCCCCUCCAUGACUGCAACCACAGUUGAUCUACCUGCAUCCUCCACCACAACGUCCACUUCUCACAGCGGAUCAUCUUCAGCUCCACCAGAUGACCCAGCUUAGUGACCUUCUUUUCUCUCUGACUGAGCUGGUGAUCAGAGGAACCUGCCUAUCAAGGAGAACUUUUCAUUCCUUUAAAAGGUAUGAUGGAUGAAGUUUCCAUUAUCAUUAUACCCACAGACAAUUAGUCAAUGAAGAAAAAGUUAAGCGUAGUUAGCUGACUUAUUCAAGAAGUAAAGAUGCAGUCUACUGCUUUUGCUGCAAAUUAUUUUCCAAGAAGUCCUUAAAACUGGCAACUGAUGGACAGCUGGAUUGGGUCAACAAUCAAUGUAGUUACAAAAUGAAAUGGAAGGAAUUUAGCUUGCUUCUUUCCAACAGAAAAACCAUUGAUGAAGCAGAAAUGGGCCUCCACGAGGCAGAAAGAAAAUGCUGGAGAGAUGUUCUCACACACUUAGUCAGUAUUAUCCAGUCACUGGUAGAAAGGAACCGGACUCUGAGGGGAUCUUCUGACACAUUGCACAAGGCCAACAAUGGGAACUUUCUCAAAGAAGUUGAACUGCUAGCUAAAUUUUAUCCUGUGUUCAGAGAUCAUGUGAGACACAUUAACAGUGGAGCAGAGCACAUCACAUACCUUAGUAAAACGAUUCAAAAUGAGUUGAUAGCCUAUGUGAUAAAAUACUUGACACAAUGGUGUCAGAAAUCAGAUUCAAAAUACUACGCCAUGAUACUGGAUUCCAACCUAGAUGUAAGUCAUCAAGAACAAAUAUCUGUUGCUGUGCGCACAGUGAAUCUUGUGAAAACACCAGAGAUCAUUGAGAACUUCUUGGGGUUUCUUAUAGUUCCAGAAUCCACGGGUCAUGGCUCGUCUGCACUGAUUCUUCAGAAGCUGAAGAGCUGAACAUCCUCUUUGAGGACUGUAGGGGACAAUCAUAUGACAAAGGUGCAAAUAAAGGUGUGCAGGAAAGGCUUUAAAAAAAUCCAAAUGCUUUUUAUGUACCUUGUGGAGCCCAUAGCCUAAAUCUAGUAGUUUCUGAUGCUGCUAAAGUGUCCAUGGAUGCCACUUGCUUUUUUAGAAAUGUGAAAAAAAUCUAAAAACUUUCCUCAGGUUCAAAGUCAAAUGUGAGAAUAAUGGCUUUUAUUUACAGUAGAUUUUUUUUGUUUUUUGCUAAAACCUUUGCACAUAUAGUUAUACACAUUUUUAGAGUUUUAAUACCUAAUUAGUCAACUUUAUAUUUAUAUUUUAAACCAUUUGUGUUACCUUGUUUCAGG